AGGACGAACGCUGGCGGCGUGCCUAAUACAUGCAAGUAGGACGCUGAAGGAGGAGCUUGCUUCUCUGGAUGAGUUGCGAACGGGUGAGUAACGCGUAGGUAACCUGCCUGGUAGCGGGGGAUAACUAUUGGAAACGAUAGCUAAUACCGCAUAAUAGUAGAUGUUGCAUGACAUUUGCUUAAAAGGUGCAAUUGCAUCACUACCAGAUGGACCUGCGUUGUAUUAGCUAGUUGGUGGGGUAACGCUCACCAAGGCGACGAUACAUA
rnacentral:rRNA from 1 species